rnacentral:lncRNA from 1 species
GUGGUUGACCAUUUACUAGCUUACCUGUACUCUUUGUGUAUCUGCCGAGCAACCCAAGGUGAGUUCACACAGCCAAGGAAUGGGAUUCCCGGGUGGGAAUUGGGACCUUAGGUACAUUAUGGAGCUUGCACAGGGAGGAGCGGGUCGUUGUGGGAUAUGGAUCAUGAACGAUAUUUGAACUUAUAACUAUUUUGGAGUUUACACUACUAUGCUUCCGCUACUUAAACAAUGUUUGGUUUUGAAACAUCAAUCAUGUCAUGAUGAACUACCUUAAUUACUUUUAUUAUUAUUAAAUGCUAUGUUUGAUAUGAUUGAUG